rnacentral:misc_RNA from 1 species
GAAAUGCGAUAAGUAGUGUGAAUUGCAGAAUUCAGUGAAUCAUCGAAUCUUUGAACGCACAUUGCGCCCCUUGGUAUUCCAUGGGGCAUGCCUGUUCGAGCGUCAAUUGUACCCUCAAGCUCUGCUUGGUGUUGGGUGUUUGUCCCGUCUCCGCGCGUGGACUCGCCCCAAAGUGAUUGGCAGCCGGCGUACUGGUCCCGGAGCGCAGCACAUGUCGCGCAAACGAGUGCCUUGGUACGGCGGCGUCCAUAAGCCCCUCUCUCACGCUCUUGACCUCGGAUCAGGUAGGGAUACCCGCUGAACUUAAGC